GCUCGCUUGGCCCAGGGGUAAGGCGUGUCACUCGUAUAUAUUAAACCCAUUCCCGUGAUGACAAGAUCAUCGGUUCGAAUCCGAUAGUGAGCA